rnacentral:rRNA from 1 species
GACAGAGGUGCCGAGCGUUAGGCGGAAUCACUGGGCUUAAAGCGUGUGUAGGCGGAUUCCUAAGUACCUUGUGAAAUCCCAUGGCUCAACCAUGGAACUGCUUGGUAUACUGGGUGUCUUGAGCCAGCUAGGGGCUACCGGAACAAAUGGUGGAGCGGUGAAAUGCGUAGAUACCAUUUGGAACGCCAAUGGUGAAAACAGGUAGCUGGGGCUGUGCUGACGCUGAGACACGAAAGCCAGGGGAGCGAACGGG